CUUGAGCGAGUGGUCGGCAAAUGAAAAGACAGAAUUCAAAUGAAUUUAAAAACGUGUAUAUUCACAAUAUUAUUAACAAUUUCACAAGUGAAUAGCUUGGUAAAUAAAUCGACUGCACUUCAUAAUUAAAUAUUAACUUGUGUAUCAUAGUGUUCCAAAGAAUCAAAGCUAUUGGAUGAACAAUGCAGUACCUAUUGCUAUCAGGUUGUGAAGCCGCUUCUACAAUACGUCAACACGGUCUCAACAAUGACAUAAGAACACAUCGAGUUGCAACAUACAAUUAAGACACAAGCAGAAUUGAUCCAAUCUAAGGACAUGCAAUGGGCCCAGCAAUUGAAAUCGUGUGAAAUACAAUCUGAACUUAAAUCAAAGUUAAGCGAAUCAUUCGAAAUCCAUAAUCGCAAUCAACAAAAACUUAUUGAUCAAUUUGAGAUUCAAAUAACUAAUCUGAAAUCGGAAAUCAAGUCGAAAGAUGAAGAAAUUAAGGAAUUGCAAUCACAAAAUGCAAAGACUAAAGCACUUCAGAAUGAGAUCACUGCCUAUAAACAGACAACCAGUUGUCUCGGUAAAUUGACGGAGAUUCAUACGAUUCGAGUUCCCAUAACACACACAAUGACAGUUUCAUUUGAAUCGAGCUUGCCUGGAGCUGGAACUGGAUGGACUGUUAUACAGCGACGUAAAGAUGGUAGUGUGGAUUUUAAUAAAACCUGGUCAGAGUACAAAGAGGGUUUUGGAGAUCCUCGUGGAGAAUUCUUUAUUGGACUCGAGAAGCUUCACUUGCUAACACAAUCCCAACACCAUGAAUUAUAUAUAUCCCUUGGCGACUUUUCUAAUGAAACACGAUAUGCCAAAUACAAUAACUUCGUUAUUGGUGACGAGACAGAGUUAUAUGAAAUAAAAGAAGUUGGAACGUAUUCCGGCGAUACUAACGACUCAUUGUCAUUGCACAAACAUUUUAAAUUUUCAACACCAGAUAAGGAUUCUUCCUUUAAAAAAUGUGCAUCCAAAUUCAGUUCAGGCUGGUGGUUUACCAACGGUUACUAUAAUUGCAAUCUUAAUGGCCGUUAUAUACAACAAGAUAUUGGAGAGGAUGUACAUGGAAUUGAAUGGAGAUCUUGGAAACCGAAUAGACCAUUAAAAAUCACUCAAAUGAUGAUAAGACCAAAAUCUUAAGAGAAUUGACUUCUGUGAGGUUUUUUCUCUUCAAUGUUCGUGUCUGGCAUUGAUUUGGCAAAGCAUGAAGCGCUUAACAACAGUAAAUAAAUAGUUCGAUAUUGUCUUAAAAAUAAAACUAUCUAACUAUGUUAUAUUUGAUAUUAAUCAAUAUUCAUACACAUGUACAUUUUCAAACCUUUAUAUUUUGCAAAUUAUUGAAUUCAUUGAAACAAAUCUCAGUUUUAUUGUUUUGUCAUGUUAAAUAACUACAUACAUACAUAUAUAGUUUCUUAUCUAAU